AAGCGUGAUAGGCCUAGGCCUAAUACGAAAACUCAACAUAGUUUACCUAAUACGAUGACAAAUAAAAAUAAAAAGCCCAUGUUUUUGACAGGUAGGGCUUCUGUUAAUAAUGAAAGACUGAGGGCUGUGGAGAAAUACAGACACAUUUUUGCGUCUAGAUUUGGUGAAAAUGUUCAAUGUGAAGAUCUGAAACAGUACCUAAACGAUACUGUCAGUGGUAGUUAUGAAGUAAUUAAACUAAAAAAAUAGGUUUCCAGGCUACAGCUCCUUUAAAAUUGGUGUCCCUCUGCCACUUUGGGAGAAUGUGUUCAACCAGGAUGUCUGGCCUGCAGAGGGAUUUGUCGUUGGUGCGAGCUACUGCCGACGGCCUCCUAGGGUGCAUGGCGGUACUUCAGUUUUAGUCAGAACUGGCAUUUCUUUUGAAUUAUUAAAUAUUAAUAGGUUAUAGUUUUAUUGUCUUAAGUGUGUAUCGCACACCCAACACAGAUUUUAAUAACAUUAUUGAAUGCCUAGAAAAAAUACUUAUCCAUCUCUUAUCUAUCCAUCUUUUAAAUACUUUGGGCUUUCAGGUGACUUCAAUCUAUCUAAAUCAGAAAAUCCAGAAGUUAAUUAUUUCUUAAAUAUUCUUAGAUCUGUGGAACUGUAUCCUGUAAAUACAAAACCUACACGUAAUCAGGCAUGCCUGGAAAAUGUUUUCACAAAUGUUAAUAAAGAGUGGACGAUAUGUUUCUUAUUAGGUCAGGAUAUUAUUUUUCACCAUGCUGGCAUGUGGGUGGAUUUUUUUAACCACAUCUUGUAAUAGUAAGCCUACUUUAAAUAAUAUAAAAGAUAAUGAUAUGCAUUCUUGUGAUAAACGUGUAAUGAAUAAUGACAGUAUUAGUGAUUUAAGCCAAAGCCUUAGUUUUAUUGAUUGGAACUGUAGGUAUAUAUAUAUAUAUAUAUAUAUAUAUAUAUAUAUAUAUAUAUAUAUAUAUAUAGUUUAACUGAUGUACAUACUGCCUUUUCAGUGUUCGUUCAUGUUUUGUCUAAUUAUUUUAAUAUGUAUUGUUCUAUUGUUACUUGUAAAAAUAAUGCUAAAUCUAAGAUGUCGACUAAUUGGUACACACAGGAAUUAAAAUUAGUGCAUUCUUAUAUAUUAGUGUUGUAUGAUAAGUGGAAAUCAACCCCUCGUCCAUUGUGGACAAAGUAGUUUUUAAGAAGUUUCGAAAAUAGUAUUA